rnacentral:ncRNA from 1 species
UCAGCAAAGGCCAAACCCCAAGCAAUUGGGGGACGGAAAGCCACGGAUCCUCAAAAAGCAAGGACAGCCGGGUUGCCUGGA